CAAUGGCCAAUCAGAUUCCUCCCUGAAACGGAUUAUCCCAGAGCCUCGCGUUCCUUCCCGAGGAUCGCAGGCUCGGGGAACGAGAUUGUAAUGAGGUGUGAGUGCUGACUCUUCCACAGUCCCUCAUUCGUACGCGCGGUCGCGUAAUUUGAGCAGCGCCGAUUUGAGGGACUGUGAAAUCGUGACUCGAAAACUUGCAAAAACACUCGAAAACUUGCAAAUGUGCUCGAAAACCUAAAAUAUCGUCGAAUAAGGAAGAAAUCGUGGAUGUUUUGGACGGUAGCGGUCCUUCGCUGUACAUGGGAAGUGUUUUGUCUGAAUCGUGCGAGGAAUUGGAGAUAUUAAUGGAAUAUUUAUCUCUUGAAGACGAUGAUGG